GCACCCUUAGCUCAACUGGAUAGAGCGUCUGACUUCGGAUCAGAAGGUUGUGGGUUCGACCCCUACAGGGUGUG
rnacentral:tRNA from 2 species